GCGCCCGUAGCUCAGUUGGAUAGAGCAUCGGCCUUCUAAGCCGAGGGACGUCGAUUCGAGCACGUAAAAAUAGUCCUAAAUGUCGCCGUUCAGCGAUCUGGCGCG
rnacentral:tRNA from 1 species